GGUGACUGCGUACCUUUUGUAUAAUGGGUCAGCGACUUAUAUUCUGUAGCAAGGUUAACCGUAUAGGGGAGCCGGAGGGAAACCGAGUCUUAACCGGGCGUUAAGUUGCAGGGUAUAGACCCGAAACCCGGUGAUCUAGCCAUGGGCAGGUUGAAGGUUGGGUAACACUAACUGGAGGACCGAACCGACUAAUGUUGAAAAAUUAGCGGAUGACCUGUGGCUGGGGGUGAAAGGCCAAUCAAACCGGGAGAUAGCUGGUUCUCCCCGAAAGCUAUUUAGGUAGCGCCUCGUGAAUUCAUCUCCGGGGGUAGAGCACUGUUUCGGCUAGGGGGUCAUCCCGACUUACCAACCCGAUGCAAACUGCGAAUACCGGAGAAUGUUAUCACGGGAGACACACGGCGGGUGCUAACGUCCGUCGUGAAGAGGGAAACAACCCAGACCGCCAGCUAAGGUCCCAAAGUCAUGGUUAAGUGGGAAACGAUGUGGGAAGGCCCAGACAGCCAGGAUGUUGGCUUAGAAGCAGCCAUCAUUUAAAGAAAGCGUAAUAGCUCACUGGUCGAGUCGGCCUGCGCGGAAGAUGUAACGGGGCUAAACCAUGCACCGAAGCUGCGGCAGCGACACUCAGGUGUUGUUGGGUAGGGGAGCGUUCUGUAAGCCUGCGAAGGUGGCCUGUGAGGGUUGCUGGAGGUAUCAGAAGUGCGAAUGCUGACAUAAGUAACGAUAAAGCGGGUGAAAAGCCCGCUCGCCGGAAGACCAAGGGUUCCUGUCCAACGUUAAUCGGGGCAGGGUGAGUCGACCCCUAAGGCGAGGCCGAAAGGCGUAGUCGAUGGGAAACGGGUUAAUAUUCCCGUACUUGGUGUUACUGCGAAGGGGGGACGGAGAAGGCUAUGUUGGCCGGGCGACGGUUGUCCCGGUUUAAGCGUGUAGGUGUGUGUUCCAGGUAAAUCCGGUUCACUUUAACACUGAGGCGUGAUGACGAGGCACUACGGUGCUGAAGCAACAAAUGCCCUGCUUCCAGGAAAAGCCUCUAAGCAUCAGGUAACAUCAAAUCGUACCCCAAACCGACACAGGUGGUCAGGUAGAGAAUACCAAGGCGCUUGAGAGAACUCGGGUGAAGGAACUAGGCAAAAUGGUGCCGUAACUUCGGGAGAAGGCACGCUGACACGUAGGUGAAGUGAUUUACUCACGGAGCUGAAGUCAGUCGAAGAUACCAGCUGGCUGCAACUGUUUAUUAAAAACACAGCACUGUGCAAACACGAAAGUGGACGUAUACGGUGUGACGCCUGCCCGGUGCCGGAAGGUUAAUUGAUGGGGUCAGCGCAAGCGAAGCUCCUGAUCGAAGCCCCGGUAAACGGCGGCCGUAACUAUAACGGUCCUAAGGUAGCGAAAUUCCUUGUCGGGUAAGUUCCGACCUGCACGAAUGGCGUAAUGAUGGCCAGGCUGUCUCCACCCGAGACUCAGUGAAAUUGAACUCGCUGUGAAGAUGCAGUGUACCCGCGGCAAGACGGAAAGACCCCGUGAACCUUUACUAUAGCUUGACACUGAACAUUGAGCCUUGAUGUGUAGGAUAGGUGGGAGGCUUUGAAGCGUGGACGCCAGUCUGCGUGGAGCCGACCUUGAAAUACCACCCUUUAAUGUUUGAUGUUCUAACGUGGACCCGUAAUCCGGGUUGCGGACAGUGUCUGGUGGGUAGUUUGACUGGGGCGGUCUCCUCCUAAAGAGUAACGGAGGAGCACGAAGGUUGGCUAAUCCUGGUCGGACAUCAGGAGGUUAGUGCAAUGGCAUAAGCCAGCUUGACUGCGAGCGUGACGGCGCGAGCAGGUGCGAAAGCAGGUCAUAGUGAUCCGGUGGUUCUGAAUGGAAGGGCCAUCGCUCAACGGAUAAAAGGUACUCCGGGGAUAACAGGCUGAUACCGCCCAAGAGUUCAUAUCGACGGCGGUGUUUGGCACCUCGAUGUCGGCUCAUCACAUCCUGGGGCUGAAGUAGGUCCCAAGGGUAUGGCUGUUCGCCAUUUAAAGUGGUACGCGAGCUGGGUUUAGAACGUCGUGAGACAGUUCGGUCCCUAUCUGCCGUGGGCGCUGGAGAACUGAGGGGGGCUGCUCCUAGUACGAGAGGACCGGAGUGGACGCAUCACUGGUGUUCGGGUUGUCAUGCCAAUGGCACUGCCCGGUAGCUAAAUGCGGAAGAGAUAAGUGCUGAAAGCAUCUAAGCACGAAACUUGCCCCGAGAUGAGUUCU
rnacentral:rRNA from 1 species